rnacentral:rRNA from 1 species
GACGAACGCUGGCGGCGUGCUUAACACAUGCAAGUCGAACGGAAAGGCCCUGCUUUUGUGGGGUGCUCGAGUGGCGAACGGGUGAGUAACACGUGAGUAACCUGCCCUUGACUUUGGGAUAACUUCAGGAAACUGGGGCUAAUACCGGAUAGGAGCUCCUGCUGCAUGGUGGGGGUUGGAAAGUUUCGGCGGUUGGGGAUGGACUCGCGGCUUAUCAGCUUGUUGGUGGGGUAGUGGCUUACCAAGGCUUUGACGGGUAGCCGGCCUGAGAGGGUGACCGGCCACAUUGGGACUGAGAUACGGCCCAGACUCCUACGGGAGGCAGCAGUGGGGAAUAUUGCACAAUGGGCGGAAGCCUGAUGCAGCAACGACGCGUGCGGGAUGACGGCCUUCGGGUUGUAAACCGCUUUCGCCUGUGACGAAGCGUGAGUGACGGUAAUGGGUAAAGAAGCACCGGCUAACUACGU